GAUGAACGCUGGCGGCAUGCUUUACACAUGCAAGUCGAACGGCAGCACGGGGGCAACCCUGGUGGCGAGUGGCGAACGGGUGAGUAAUACAUCGGAACGUGCCCAGUCGUGGGGGAUAACUUCGCGAAAGCGUAGCUAAUACCGCAUACGACCUAUGCGUGACAGCGGGGGAUCGCAAGACCUCGCGCGAUUGGAUGGGCCGGUGGAAGAUUAGGUAGUGGGGGGGGUAAAGGCCGACCAAGCCGACGAUCUGUAGCUGGUCUGAGAGGACGGCCAGCCACACUGGGACUGAGACACGGCCCAGACUCCUACUGGAGGCAGCAGUAGGGAAUCUUCCGCAAUGGACGAAAGUCUGACGGAGCAACGCCGCGUGAGUGAUGAAGGUUCUCGGAUCGUAAAGCUCUGUUGCCAGGGAAGAACGGCCUGGGGAGUAACUGCCCUAGGCAUGACGGCACCUGAGAAGAAAGCCCCGGCUAACUACGUGCCAGCAGCCGCCGUAA
rnacentral:rRNA from 1 species